rnacentral:ncRNA from 13 species
GGCCGCCGUCUCGUGGCGUCAGGAACCCGGUGGAAUUCCGGGGCGGUUCCGCCACUGUGAGCGGCGCGGUUCGUCGUGCGCCGACAGCCAGAUACUGGCC